rnacentral:rRNA from 1 species
GAGUCAGACUGCACGAGAUAAGUUGGGCGGUCAAAAGGGAAAGAGCCCAGACCUACAGUUAAGGUCCCAAAGUGCGCGUUAAGUGGAAAAGGAUGUGGGAUUUCGAAGACAACCAGGAUGUUGGCUCAGAAGCAGCCAUACAUUCAAAGAGUGCGUAAUAGCUCACUGGUCGAGAGGUCCUGCGCCGAAAAUGUCCGGGGCUGAAACGCGCCACCGAAACUAAGGAAUCUGAAAAGAUUGGUAGAGGAGCAUUGCAUGCGGGAAGAAGCAGUACCGGAAGGAGCUGUGGACUGCAUGGAAGAGAGAAUGCCGGAAUGAGUAGCGAGAUAGAGGUGGGAAUCCUCUAGGCCGAAUAUCCAAGGUUUCCAGGGUAAAGCUGAUCUGCCCUGGGUGAGUCGGGACCUAAGGUGAGGGCGAGAGCCGUAGCCGAUGGACAACAGGUUGAUAUUCCUGUACUGCAGUAUGACAGAACUGUGGGGACACGUAAGGAGAGCGGGAGCCGGGAAUGGAAAGCCCGGUACAAGCGAGGUACCAGUAUGGUAGGAAAAUCCGCCAUGCAAUGGGAAGACGUGAUGUGGAGUGAAUUUUAGUAACGAAGCCCGUGAGCCAUGCGUCAAGAAAAGCCGCUAUCGUUCAUAUUGUACCCGUACCGUAAACCGACACAGGUGGAUGAGGAGAGAAUCCUAAGGCCGGCGGAAGAAGUAUUGCCAAGGAACUCGGCAAAAUGGCCCCGUAACUUAGGGAGAAGGGGUGCCUGCGAGAGCAGGCCGCAGAGAAUAGGCUCAAGCAACUGUUUAGCAAAAACACAGGUCUAUGCGAAACCGAAAGGUGAGGUAUAUGGGCUGACGCCUGCCCGGUGCUGGAAGGUUAAGAGGAGAGGUUAGACGUAAGUCGAAGCUUUGAAUUUAAGCCCCAGUAAACGGCGGCCGUAACUAUAACGGUCCUAAGGUAGCGAAAUUCCUUGUCGGGUAAGUUCCGACCCGCACGAAAGGCGUAAUGAUUUGAGCGCUGUCUCGGCAAUACAUCCGGUGAAAUUGAAGUGCCAGUGAAGAUGCUGGCUACCCGCGCCAGGACGGAAAGACCCCAUGGAGCUUUACUCCAGUUUGGCACUGGGGUCCGGUGUUGCAUGUACAGGAUAGGUGGGAGGCUGAGAAACGGUAACGUCAGUUGCCGCGGAGCCGCUGUUGGGAUACCACCCUUGUGAUAUUGGGCUUCUAACCAGCCGCCGUAAUCCGGCGGUGGGACAAUGCCAGGCGGGGAGUUUGACUGGGGCGGUCGCCUCCGAAAGGGUAUCGGAGGCGCCCAAAGGUUCCCUCAGAAUGGACGGAAACCAUUCGAAGAGUGCAAAGGCAGAAGGGAGCUUGACUGCGACACCGACGGGUGGAGCAGGUACGAAAGUAGGGCUUAGUGAUCCGGUGGUAUUAAGUGGGAAUGCCAUCGCUCAACGGAUAAAAGCUACCCUGGGGAUAACAGGCUUAUCACUCCCAAGAGUUCACAUCGACGGAGUGGUUUGGCACCUCGAUGUCGGCUCAUCGCAUCCUGGGGCUGUAGUA